UACGUAGGGUGCAAGCGUUGUCCGGAAUUAUUGGGCGUAAAGAGCUCGUAGGCGGUUUGUCGCGUCGAAUGUGAAAACCCGGGGCUCAACCCCGGGCCUGCAUUCGAUACGGGCAGACUAGAGUUCGGUAGGGGAGUCUGGAAUUCCUGGUGUAGCGGUGAAAUGCGUAGAUAUCUGGAGGAAUACCGGUGGCGAAGGCGGCAUCCUGGACCGACAUUGACGCUGAACGGCGAAAGCUAGGGGAGCAAACGGG
rnacentral:rRNA from 1 species